UGCAUCCUACGGGACGCAGCAGUGGGGGAUAUUGCACAAUGGGGGGAACCCUGAUGCAGCGACGCCGCGUGGGUGAAGGAGUGCUUCGGCAUGUAAAGCCCUAUCGGCAGGGAAGAAGCAAGACGGUACCUGACUAAGAAGCCCCGGCUAACUACGUGCCAGCAGCCGCGGUAAUACGUAGGGGGCGAGCGUUAUCCGGAGUCACUGGGGGUAAAGGGAGCGUAGACGGGCAU
rnacentral:rRNA from 1 species